rnacentral:rRNA from 1 species
UACGUAGGCGGCUUUUUAAGUCGGAUGUGAAAUCCCUGAGCUUAACUUAGGAAUUGCAUUCGAUACUGGGGAGCUAGAGUAUGGGAGAGGAUGGUAGAAUUCCAGGUGUAGCGGUGAAAUGCGUAGAGAUCUGGAGGAAUACCGAUGGCGAAGGCAGCCAUCUGGCCUAAUACUGACGCUGAGGUACGAAAGCAUGGGGAGCAAACA